ensembl:piRNA 21ur-8570 ncRNA
UCAUUGUAUUGUAUGUGUACA